rnacentral:lncRNA from 1 species
UCUGGUCCUCAUUUCUCUUCACAUUCUCCUUCACCUCUUCCCUUCCGCUAUCACCUGCCUCGCCCUCAUUCCCGCCAGGUAUCGCAAUUUCAACUUUCAACAUUCACUGCUAAAUUAAACGGUCAUAGAUCUGUUAUUAGCCUUCCUUAUAUAAUUUCAAACAAAACUACCAAAAGUAACAUUUGUCGGAAAAAAAAAAAAAAAAACAUUAUUUUCUUAAUGCACUCCUAUUAAGUACAACUCUAUUUGACUUGAAACUGGUUUUCCUAUUGGUUUUAAUUUUGCAGGACUAUUCCCUUUGCCUGGAACCUCAUUACAGCUGGUUAUGUUGAACAAUCUGUCUAUGGGGUAUGUAUGUAUGUAUGAAUGCACUUACUCUUCCAUCAAAUUAUGUUUUUUCAUUGCUUUAACCAAAACUUCACAGUUAACAUUCACUUUUAUAGGUAGUGGUCAGCACAAUUGGUCUUCUCUUCAUUGGGAAGCUGCUUGAGCCAGUUUGGGGUCCCAGGGAAUUUCUAAAGUUCAUCUUUAUAGUUAACUUUCUAACUUCUCUCUGCAUUUUCAUCACUGCUAUUGCUUUGUACUGCAUUACAGGGCAGGAGAGUUACCUGUGAGUAUUUAAUAUCUACUUUCAUAUGAUAUGAUGUUUUCUGUCGGUUGUUCAUGUUGUUAUCUGAUUUUCUCUCUGUUUAUUAUAUUUCCCUUUGGCACAUUAUUUUGUGCGUUUGUUUGUUUGAGUAAGCUUAUCCAAAAACACUUCUAAGAUAAGAAAACAAGAAGAAAAAAAUAAAAUGAGUUUUUCCAUAAACUAAAAUUAGCUUAUUCAUUAGUUAAUUUGUAUAAGUUUUCUCGUAUGAUUUCUCUAAAUGAUGAGAACAUUGUUGGUUAAGUAUGUAUUAAGCUAAAGAUCAAAAUGAUUGAACUAGAACAGUUUUUAGGGCCUUCGGGUCAUGAACUUACUUUUAUUAUGUGUGCCAUUUGCUUCUUGAUCCAAUUCUUCUGAUCUUUAUACUCUUGCUUUGCUCUUCUAGUUAUAUGCCAUUCUCUGGAUUUCAUGGAG